CUGGAAAUGUAGGAACCUCAGCC
rnacentral:piRNA from 1 species